UGGGGAAUAUUGCACAAUGGGCGCAAGCCUGAUGCAGCCAUGCCGCGUGUAUGAAGAAGGCCUUCGGGUUGUAAAGUACUUUCAGCGGGGAGGAAGGGAGUAAAGUUAAUACCUUUGCUCAUUGACGUUACCCGCAGAAGAAGCACCGGCUAACUCCGUGCCAGCAGCCGCGGUAAUACGGAGGGUGCAAGCGUUAAUCGGAAUUACUGGGCGUAAAGCGCACGCAGGCGGUUUGUUAAGUCAGAUGUGAAAUCCCCGGGCUCAACCUGGGAACUGCCUCUGAUACUGGCAAGCUUGAGUCUCGGAGAGGGGGGUAGAAUUCCAGGUGUAGCGGUGAAAUGCGUAGAGAUCUGGAGGAAUACCGGUGGCGAAGGCGGCCCCCUGGACGAAGACUGACGCUCAGGUGCGAAAGCGUGGGGAGCAAACAGG
rnacentral:rRNA from 1 species